rnacentral:rRNA from 1 species
AUUGAACGCUGGCGGCAUGCCUUACACAUGCAAGUCGAACGGCAGCACGGGAGCAAUCCUGGUGGCGAGUGGCGAACGGGUGAGUAAUAUAUCGGAACGUGCCCAGUCGUGGGGGAUAACGUAGAGAAAUUACGUCUAAUACCGCAUACGAUCUAAGGAUGAAAGACGGGGGACGUCGCAAGAGCCUCGCGCGAUUGGAGCGGCUGAUAUCAGAUUAGGUUGNGGUUGAGGUAAAAGACUCACCAAGCCGACGAUCUGUAGCUGGUUUGAGAGAACGACCAGCCACACUGGGACUGAGACACGGCCCAGACUCCUACGGGAGGCAGCAGUGGGGAAUUUUGGUACAAUGGGCGAAAGCCUGAUCCAGCAAUGCCGCGUGCAGGAAGAAGGG